rnacentral:sRNA from 1 species
UCUCUGAUGAAGCUGUCGCCCGGGGUGG